rnacentral:rRNA from 1 species
GGCUCAGGAUGAACGCUAGCGGCAGGCUUAACACAUGCAAGUCGAGGGGCAUCGGGAGUAGCAAUACUUGCCGGCGACCGGCGCAAGGGUGCGUAACGCGUGAGCAACAUGCCCGUAUCAGGGGGAUAAUCCAUGGAAACGUGGUCUAAUACCCCAUAGUAAUUAUGUAAGGCAUCUUAUAUAAUUUAAAGCUUUGGUGGAUACGGAUUGGCUCGCGUGACAUUAGCUAGAUGGUAAGGUAACGGCUUACCAUGGCUACGAUGUCUAGGGGUUCUGAGAGGAAGGCCCCCCACACUGGAACUGAGACACGGUCCAGACUCCUACGGGAGGCAGCAGUGAGGAAUAUUGGACAAUGGAUGGAAAUCUGAUCCAGCCAUGCCGCGUGCAGGAAAGACGGCCCUAUGGGUUGUAAACUGCUUUUGUAUGGGAGCAAUAAGGGCUACGCGUAGUCCGAUGAGAGUACCAUACGAAUAAGCACCGGCUAACUCCGUGCCAGCCGCUGC